UCAUUUGCUUUUGCAGUGCAUAUACUAAAAUUGGAAUGAUACAGAGAAGCUUAACAUGAUCCCUGUGCAAAAAUGACAAUGAAAUUUGUGAUGUGUUUCAUAUUUGU